rnacentral:lncRNA from 1 species
CUCAGCUCUCAGUUCCAGUCCAUGUCCCUUACUGAUGAAGAGGGAUGACGGCUUUAAUUUCAUUCCACUCAUUCAGUACUUCAUGGAGGCAGCCGGAAAGCGAGUUAGUCCCCAUGCAGAAUAGCAGCCAGGCAGAGCACAUCACUCCUUCUGCUGUUGCUGUAACAGAUUCCUUAAGACUGGGUA